GCACAAGCAGUGGAGUAUGUGGUUUAAUUCGAAGCAACGCGAAGAACCUUACCAGGUCUUGACAUCCGAUGCAUAGUGCAGAGAUGCAUGAAGUCCUUCGGGACAUCGAGACAGGUGGUGCAUGGUUGUCGUCAGCUCGUGUCGUGAGAUGUUGGGUUAAGACCCGCAACGAGCGCAACCCUUAUUGCCAGUUACUACGAAAGAGGACUCUGGCGAGACUGCCGUUGACAAAACGGAGGAAG
rnacentral:rRNA from 1 species